rnacentral:rRNA from 1 species
CAGCUUCUGGAUCAUUACUGACACUGAGGAACGAAAGCAUGGGUAGCGAAGAGGAUUAGAUACCCUCGUAGUCCAUGCCGUAAACGAUGUGUGUUAGACGUUGGAAAUUUAUUUUCAGUGUCGCAGGGAAACCGAUAAACACACCGCCUGGGGAGUACGACCGCAAGGUUAAAACUCAAAUGAAUUGACGGGGACCCGCACAAGUAGUGGAGCAUGUGGUUUAAUUCGAAGAUACGCGCAGAACCUUACCAACACUUGACAUGUUCGUCGCGACUCUAAGAGAUUAGAGUUUUCGGUUCGGCCGGACGAAACACAGGUGCUGCAUGGCUGUCGUCAGCUCGUGUCGUGAGAUAUUGGGUUAAGUCCCGCAACGAGCGCAACCCUCACUUUUGGUUGCCAUCAUUAAGUUGGGCACUCUGAAAGAACUGCCAGUGAUAAGCUGGAGGAAGGUGGGGAUGACGUCAGGUCCUCAUGGCCCUUACGUGUUGGGCUACACACGUGCUACAAUGGUAUCUACAACAGGAAGCAAGACUGCGAAGUUAAGCAAAUCCCUAAAAGAUACCUCAGUUCGGAUUGCACUCUGCAACUCGAGUGCAUGAAGCUGGAAUUACUAGUAAUCGUGGAUCAGCGUGCCACGGUGAAUGCGUUCCCGGGUCUUGUACACACCGCCCGUCACACCAUGGGAGUUGGUUCUACCUUAAGGCAAGGUUUCAAACCCUUGACCACGGUAUAGUCGGCGACUGGGGUGAAGUCGUAACAAGGUAACCGUA